UAAAUGCUAUAUUUUAUACACCUCAGGAAAAAAAGAGCCCACUGCACAGAACCCCAUUGAAAACCUCAUCAUUAUUCCACCAAAUAUUGAUCUCUGAAAUCUGAGUUAAAGCAUUAGUAUUGUUGUUUCUAAGUGAAUAUGAACU